GCCAGUGGGCUGUAGUGGUUUAAGCAUUGGACUACAACUCUGGAGAGUAGGGUUCAAAUCCCUGCUCAGACA